UUAGGCCUUGGGGGCUGAGAUGGGGUCUGAAUGAGCAGCUCUGCGUUUCGCCUCCAAUAAAGCCAGACUGCCUGUUGCAUAGCCUUACAUUUUAGGUUUACAAAGCUGGGUCAGGCACAAAUCCAUGUAUGUCCGUGUGAACAGCUGCCACUCAGAGCUUAGCCACUCCCUGCCCUUAAAAUGCUACUGAUGUUUUCACCUGAAGACAUCUGGAUCCAGUAUUACCACACACAAAUAGAAAAAACAAAGUUUUUUGGCAAAAGAGACAAGAAAAAACAAGGAUCAACUUCGCCCUAGCAUUUCCAAGAUGGAGAGAAUAUCAAGAGCAGAAGCAGCUCCAGUUUGACUUUGAGCUAGCUUUUCUCCUCCUGGGCAGACAUUGCCCUACCAAGACCACAGCUUAUGGAAGUUGAGCAGCGUUGACCCAGAAUGAC